AAUACGACUCUCGGCAACGGAUAUCUAGGCUCUAGCAUCGAUGAAGAACGUAGCGAAAUGCGAUACUUGGUGUGAAUUGCAGAAUCCCGUGAACCAUCGAGUUUUUGAACGCAAGUUGCGCCCGAAGCCAUUAGGCUGAGGGCACGUCUGCCUGGGCGUCACG
rnacentral:rRNA from 1 species